UAAAAAAUGAAGAGGGUUUUCCAAGACAGAAAAGGACAUAAAUCAUGAUCUCUCCUUACAAGGAAAUUCCUGAAAACUAAUAGUCCACAAAAGCACUGGA